GAAUAGCGCAGUCCAAUACUUUGAUCUCUGCUAAUAGAAGAUAACGAUUCUUUCCUUUGGAUGUUCGAACAAGUCAUUAAUGGUAUCUAGAGCCCUAUAGAAUGAAGAAAGGCCUUUGGUUCACAUAGUAACCUAACCUGUAGGUUAGUGGCUUACGUACCUAUUGGUAAAGCCGGCCUACACGACCGUCUAGGCGGGAAAGAAACAUGUUUUUCCUAUGACUUGAGGCCACCGGGCCUUUUAGCUAUGAGUGAUUACGUUCCUUAAACCUGCUGUAGGGUUCAUCUUUUUAUUCACCAUAGGAGGACUCACUGGAAUAGUCCCGGCUAAUUCUGGGCUAGACAUUGCUCUACAUGGGCGAGCCCUCCCCUUUGCCGUAUCUUUUGCCUUGCGGAAGGUGGGCCUAAGAGGGGGACUGGCCUUAGC